GUGAACGCUGGCGGUCGGCCUAACACAUGCCAGUCGGACGGCAGCACCGUAAGAGCUUGCUCUUACGGGUGGCGAGUGGCGGACGGGUGAGGAAUACAUCGGAAUCUACUUUUUCGUGGGGGAUAACGUAGGGAAACUUACGCUAAUACCGCAUACGACCUACGGGUGAAAGCGGGGGAUCUUCGGACCUUGCGCGAUUGAAUGAGCCGAUGUCGGAUUAGCUAGUUGGCGGGGUAAAGGCCCACCAAGGCGACGAUCCGUAGCUGGUCUGAGAGGAUGAUCAGCCACACUGGAACUGAGACACGGUCCAGACUCCUACGGGAGGCAGCAGUGGGGAAUAUUGGACAAUGGGCGCAAGCCUGAUCCAGCCAUACCGCGUGGGUGAAGAAGGCCUUCGGGUUGUAAAGCCCUUUUGUUGGGAAAGAAAAGCAGCAGGUUAAUACCCCGCUGUUCUGACGGUACCCAAAGAAUAAGCACCGGCUAACUUCGUG
rnacentral:rRNA from 1 species